rnacentral:rRNA from 1 species
GACGAACGCUGGCGGCGUGCUUAACACAUGCAAGUCGAACGGAAAGGCCCUGCUUGCCGGGUACUCGAGUGGCGAACGGGUGAGUAACACGUGGGUGAUCUGCCCUGCACUUCGGGAUAAGCCUGGGAAACUGGGUCUAAUACCGGAUAGGAGCCAUUUUUAGUGUGAUGGUUGGAAAGUUUUUUCGGUGUAGGGUGAGCUCGCGGCCUAUCAGCUUGUUGGUGGGGUAAUGGCCUACCAAGGCGGCGACGGGUAGCCGGCCUGAGAGGGUGGACGGCCACAUUGGGACUGAGAUACGGCCCAGACUCCUACGGGAGGCAGCAGUGGGGAAUAUUGCACAAUGGGCGCAAGCCUGAUGCAGCGACGCCGCGUGGGGGAUGACGGCCUUCGGGUUGUAAACGCCUUUCGCUAGGGACGAAGCUUUUUGUGACGGUACCUAGAGAAGAAGCACCGGCUAACUACGUG